rnacentral:rRNA from 1 species
GACGAGAGACCUUCGGGUCUCUAGUGGCGAACGGGUGAGUAACACGUAGGGAACCUGCCCGCGCACCGGGAAUACGCUCUGGAAACGGAGAACAAAUCCCGAUGUACAGGAAGGAGGCAUCUUCUUUCUGUGAAACAUCCUCUAGGGGAUGGGGCGCGGAUGGACCUGCGGUGCAUUAGUUUGUUGGCGGGGUAAAGGCCCACCAAGACGAUGAUGCAUAGCCGGCCUGAGAGGGCGGACGGCCACAUUGGGACUGAGACACGGCCCAGACUCCUGCGGGAGGCAGCAGUAGGGAAUUUUCGUCAAUGGGCGCAACCCUGAUGCAGCGACGCCGCGUGAGUGAAGAAGUAAUUCGUUAUGUAAAGCUCUAUCAGCAGGGAAGAAAAUGACGGUACCUGAGUAAGAAGCCCCGGCUAACUACGUGCCAGCAGCCGCGGUAAUACGUAGGUGGCGAGCGUUAUCCGGAAUGAUUGGGCGUAAAGGGUGCGCAGGCGGUCCUGCAAGUCUGGAGUGAAACGCAUGAGCUCAACUCAUGCAUGGCUUUGGAAACUGGAGGACUGGAGAGCAGGAGAGGGCGGUGGAACUCCAUGUGUAGCGGUAAAAUGCGUAGAUAUAUGGAAGAACACCAGUGGCGAAGGCGGCCGCCUGGCCUGUUGCUGACGCUGAGGCACGAAAGCGUGGGGAGCAAAUAGGAUUAGAUACCCUAGUAGUCCACGCCGUANACGAUGAGGACCAAGUGUUGGGGGUGAAACCUCNGUGCUGAAGUUAACGCAGUGAGUCCUCCGCCUGGGGAGUAUGCACGCAAGUGUGAAACUCAAAGGAAUUGACGGGGGCCCGCACAAGCGGUGGAGUAUGUGGUUUAA